rnacentral:rRNA from 1 species
CGCCAGCAGCCGCGGUAAUACGUAGGUGGCAAGCGUUGUCCGGAUUUACUGGGCGUAAAGAAUGCGUAGGCGGAUAUUUAAGUCAGAUGUGAAAUCCCCGGGCUUAACUUGGGGGCUGCAUUUGAAACUGGAUAUCUAGAGUGCGGGAGAGGUAAGUGGAAUUCCUAGUGUAGCGGUGAAAUGCGUAGAGAUUAGGAAGAACACCAGUGGCGAAGGCGACUUACUGGACCGUAACUGACGCUGAGGCAUGAAAGCGUGGGGAGCAAACAGGAUUAGAUACCCUGGUAGUCCACGCCGUAAACGAUGGGUACUAGGUGUAGGAGGUAUCGACUCCUUCUGUGCCGCAGUUAACACAAUAAGUACCCCGCCUGGGGAGUACGGUCGCAAGAUUAAAACUUAAAGGAAUUGGCGGGGGAC